UGAGUGAUGAAGGCCUUAGGGUUGUAAAGCUCUUUCACCGAUGAAGAUAAUGACGGUAGUCGGAGAAGAAGCCCCGGCUAACUUCGUGCCAGCAGCCGCGGUAAUACGAAGGGGGCUAGCGUUGUUCGGAAUUACUGGGCGUAAAGCGCACGUAGGCGGAUAUUUAAGUCAGGGGUGAAAUCCCGCAGCUCAACUGCGGAACUGCCUUUGAUACUGGGUAUCUUGAGUAUGGAAGAGGUAAGUGGAAUUCCGAGUGUAGAGGUGAAAUUCGUAGAUAUUCGGAGGAACACCAGUGGCGAAGGCGGCUUACUGGUCCAUUACUGACGCUGAGAUGCGAAAGCGUGGGGAGCAAACAGGAUUAGAUACCCUGGUAGUCCACGCCGUAAACGA
rnacentral:rRNA from 1 species